UCGUGUCAUUGGGAGACGCUGAGGAGGCGGCAGUGCUGCUAGUUCAGCGGUGCGCUACGCACGGCGCCCCUGUCGAUUGGGUGUGACGUCGGCGGAGUGUUGACUUCAGCUCAUGACGUAACAUCGCCGCCGAUAACAAGGCCUAAUAAUGAUAACGAGGUAUUUCUUCGCCGAAAGACUUCCUUUUAAUCUUCUUGAGGGAGAAUUUAAUGCCUGGGAUCGACUCUCGUGGUGGAAGCAGAGAGAAAGAGAGAGAAAAAGAAGAGAGAGGAAAGAAGAUGGAAAGAAAGAGGA